rnacentral:rRNA from 1 species
GGCCUAUUGAUUUAUUUAAUAGGUCUGGCCUGCCCAGUGAUGAUUUUAACGGCCGCGGUAUAUUGACCGUGCAAAGGUAGCAUAAUCAUUAGUCUUUUAAUAGGAGGCUGGAAUGAAAGGUUUAACGAGAAAUUAACUGUCUCAAUUACAGAAUUGAAUUUAUCUUUUGAGUCAAAAGACUUAAAUUUAGUUGGAGGACGAGAAGACCCUAUAGAGCUUAACAUUUUUUUUUCUAUAUUUAUUUAGGUCGUUAUUAUUUAUUUAUAUUUAAAAAAUUGUUUUGUUGGGGUGACAAUAAAUAUAUACUUAACUUUUAUCAUACUGUGUACAUUAAUUUAUGAUUUUUGGAUCCAAAAAUUUUGAUCAUUAGAUUAAGUUACC